CAGCAGCCACGGGAAUACGUAGGGUGCAAGCGUUAAUCGGAAUUACUGGGCGUAAAGCGUGCGCAGGCGGUUAUAUAAGACAGAUGUGAAAUCCCCGGGCUCAACCUGGGAACUGCAUUUGUGACUGUAUAGCUAGAGUACGGCAGAGGGGGAUGGGAUUCCGCGUGUAGCAGUGAAAUGCGUAGAUAUGCGGAGGAACACCGAUGGCGAAGGCAAUCCCCUGGGCCUGUACUGACGCUCAUGCACGAAAGCGUGGGGAGCAAACAGGAUUAGAUACCCCAGUAGUCCCUGUCUCUUAUAC
rnacentral:rRNA from 1 species